UACGGAGGGUCCAAGCGUUAUCCGGAAUCAUUGGGUUUAAAGGGUCCGUAGGCGGGCUAUUAAGUCAGAGGUGAAAGUUUGCAGCUCAACUGUAAAAUUGCCUUUGAAACUGGUAGUCUUGAAUUAUUAUGAAGUGGUUAGAAUAAGUAGUGUAGCGGUGAAAUGCAUAGAUAUUACUUAGAAUACCAAUUGCGAAGGCAGAUCACUAAUAAUAUAUUGACGCUGAGGGACGAAAGCGUGGGGAGCGAACAGG
rnacentral:rRNA from 1 species